rnacentral:tRNA from 2 species
AGGGGAGUAGCUCAACGGUAGAGCAACCGAAUAAAAGAACCAGUAUGUUGGGUAUCGGUUCUUCGGAGCGAGCAAGGGUUCGAUUCCCGCCUCCCCACA